rnacentral:lncRNA from 1 species
UUGGCAACCUGCUCGGGUCCCCUUCCACACUGUGGAAGCUUUGUUCUUUCACUCUUUGCAAUAAAUCUUGCUACUGCUCGCUCUUUGGGUCCAUGCUGCUUUUAUGAGCUGUAACACUCACCGCGAAGAUCUGCAGCUUCACUCCUGAGCCCAGCAAGACCACGAGCCCACCGGGAGGAACGAACAACUCCAGACGCGCUACCUUAAGAGCUGUAAUACUCACUGUGAAGGUCUGCAGCUUCACUCCUGAGCCAGCGAGACCACGAACCUACCAGAAGGAAGAAACUCCGAACACAUCUGAACAUCAGAAGGGACAGACUCCAGACGUGCUGCCUUACGAGCUGUAACACUCACCGCGAGGGUCCGCGGCUUCAUUCUUGAGAAGAUGAUAGAUGCAGACAUCACCACCAUUCUCCCUUAUACCAUCAUUCUCUUUUAUGUGAAAGUUGCCAGAAUCAAAAUGGAGUCACUAAUGUUUAAAGAAAGAAGAGCCCUGACAAAUCGAGCCACAGAAGGCCAUGAAGAGAAGGUUCUUUAUGCUUGUAUGCCUCACAAAAAAGACUCUGGAAAAAUCGUAUCCUUGCACAGAAGCCACCAGAAAUUUCCAUAAAAAACACUGCAAGAACAUCUGCCCCCGAACUGCCUGUCCAACCUGGACUGACAUCAUCCUUGUUAUUGAUCUUUGUAGCCAAAUAUAAUUAUUUUAAAACAAUUGUGCAAUUCGCCUCUUUUCUUUAAAAAUCUUUGUCUUCCUUUACCUCCCUGAAUAUGCACAUAGUUUACUAUGACGGGUAUAUUCUCAUUGCAAUACUCUAUUCCCAAAUAAAUGUCUUUUUCUUUUAGAGAGCCUCCCUUUGUUAUUUAGGUUGACUUAUAUGGUGUCACUUGAAAGUGAUGUCUGGAUCCGCAGCAACCAUCUUACAACCUUGAAGUGACAAGCUGGAAGAAAAGGCCAGAAGAUGCACAUAGAGUUUAAUCCUGACAGAGAUGAGUUACUGAAGCAAUGCCAGUGACCUCCUAUCCGCUAAUUUACUAUUACUUAACAAACUUUUUUCUUUUUUUUUUUUGAGACAGGGUCUCGCUCUGUCACCCAGGCUGGAGUGCAGUGUUGUGAUCUCAGCUCACUGCAAACUCCAUCUCCCAGGUUCAAGCGAUUCUCAUGCUUCAGCCUCCUGAUUAGCUGGGAUUACAGGUGCG